GAUGAAGAACGUAGCGAAAUGAGAUAAGUAAUGUGAAUUGCAGAAUUCAGUGAAUCAUCGAAUCUUUGAACGCACAUUGCGCCCCUUGGUAUUCCGAGGGGCAUGCCUGUUCGAGCGUCAUAUUAACCACUCCCGCUUGCGGGGUCUUGGGCUUCGCCUCCGGGCGGGCCUUAAAAUCAGUGGCGGUGCCGUCGGGCUCUACGCGUAGUAAAUUUUCUCGCGAUAGGGUCCCGGUGGAUGCUUGCCAACAACCCCCAACUUCUUAAGGUUGACCUCGGAUCAGGGAGGGAUACCCGCUGAACUUAAGCAUAUCAAUAAGCGGAGGA
rnacentral:misc_RNA from 1 species